AGCUAAAUUACAAAACCGGUUGAGUUUUCUAGAGCAACAAAGAGCGGCGGCAGCAAGCAGCACACCGUUGGCAUUUAGCGUUGGUGAGAAAAUUUUUGUUAUAGAGCACAAUGCCCAGAUAGUGGAGAGUCAAAGUUAAAGUAAAGAGUGGCGGCGCACUUGUUGAAAGCGACAACAAAAAUACAACAAGCGACAAUAAGAAAUAUAUGAGUGCAGUUGGCGGCAUAAACUGGUCAAAGGCAAAUGGCAACACUAAUUUAGUAGCAGAUGUUUUUGCCGUCCUCGUUGUCAUCGUCAUCGUCGUUGGUGUCGUUGGUGUGCGGCAUGCGACGAUGAUAUUAUGGGAGAAUCCAACGUUGCCGUCGCUGUCGCCACCAUAAAACUAUGACUUGUGUGUAGCAUCGUAUACAAUGCCGCUGCCACCACUACCACUACUACUACCACCAACACAGCAUUGUGGCGAAUGUUUAUAGAUUUUCAGUCGAAUUUUGUUAUUUCACGUACAAAGUGGCGCGCGCGGGCCGCCGCUAUAACAAAUCAAAUCGUGACGAUUAUUAGUGGAUUAAAGAAAGAAAGAAUGAAAAAAAAAAUAUAUGUCGAAAAUUUGUAAUAACAAUAAAAACAACAACACAAAAAUAUUACAUGGUGAAAAGUGUAUGAGGUGUAUGAUGAAAGCGUGUGCGCGGUGAAAAGCAAUAAGUGAUGUUCUCUGAAAACAGCACUAAAUUCGUUAAUUGUAGGCCAUAUUUAUUCCAAAAAAAAAAAAAAACAAAAGAAAUAGUAAAAUAAAUAAUAUCAAAUAAACACGAAAUAAACUACAACGAAAAUAACGCGAAAAAACUGCUCCAGCGCAGUCUUGCAUAAAAACAAAAAACAAAAAAAAAACUACAAACAUACAUAUUCAUCAUCAAACAACAGCAAAAAGGUGAAAUAAUCGCAUUGCAAUUGGUAAUUAAAACACAUUAAUCAACUUGCAACAAAAUAACCGUUAAACUACAACUACUAAAUUCACUGCACACAACAACGCGAAACGUGCAACAAAAAACAAGCGUGUUGCUUUUAUACAACGCAUGCGCAUGCGCUAACAACACACGAUUAGCACACAAGUGCAGGAGCAGCAAUUGUUGUCGUUUAACAUAUACACAUGUACAUACAAACGUUUGUGUGGCAAAGUAAGAGCAACAUCCUAAUAAGCAACAGCAGUCAACAGCAAUUUGUAGCAGCAACAAUAACAAAAUAUAAAAGUUAAUAAUCGCGCAAACAUUUCACGCAUACAUUUGCAUACUCCAUUGUACGCGUGCGCAAGUUCUCACUCUCGCGCUCAUACAAUUUACAGAGAGCGUGGUGUGCGCUCUCUCUCGCUGAAAUUGGUGUGUCCGUUUCGUUGCUGCGCUCUUUGUAUGAACAGUGUUGCCAGCAAAUCAGCAUCGGCACAAAUUUAACUAGCUCUAUCGUUUCGUGCUGUAUUUGUAUAACCAAAGCCUCAAAGUGGAUUUAACAAAUUAUAACAAAUUGCUGCAGUCCAGCAAUCAAUAUUUGCGGCCAGAUUAUCUGGCCGCACCGAAUGCGGUGAGUUUCCUAAAUAAAUGAUAAAAUGGUCAGAUAUAACACAUAUGCACACUUAUAAGAAAAUUGUUGGGUAAGAUAUUUAAGUAUAUAGCAGUUAUAUCAUGGAUUAAAAUGUAUUUUCUUAAGAAAAUUUAAGUUAAAUUUAAUAAAAGAAACAUUUGCGGUAAAAAAUUAAAUUUUUAAUGAAACUUGGACUAAAUUAAUUAGGAAAUAUUAUGAUUUAUAAAGAAAUAUACCACAAAAAGUCAGG